GUCCACGCAGUAAACGAUGAUCACUAGCUGUUUGCGAUACACUGUAAGCGGCACAGCGAAAGCGUUAAGUGAUCCACCUGGGGAGUACGCCGGCAACGGUGAAACUCAAAGGAAUUGACGGGGGCCCGCACAAGCGGAGGAACAUGUGGUUUAAUUCGAUGAUACGCGAGGAACCUUACCCGGGUUUGAACGCAUUCGGACCGAGGUGGAAACACCUUUUCUAGCAAUAGCCGUUUGCGAGGUGCUGCAUGGUUGUCGU
rnacentral:rRNA from 1 species